rnacentral:sRNA from 1 species
CCAAAAAGUUACAUUGGGCUGGGUGCGCUGGUGCAGCCUGUAAUCCCAGCACUUUGGGAGGCCGAGGCGGGCGGAUCUCUUGAGCCCAGACCAAUAUAGUGAGUUUGGCCAACAUAGUGAGACCCCUGUCUCUACAAAAAAUAGAAAAAAUUAGCCAGUUGCGGUAGUGAACGCCUAUAGUCCCAGCUACUUGGGACGCUGAGGCAGGAGGAUCAUUUGAACCCUGGAGGAGGAGGCUGCAGUGAGGUAUUUCCUCAUCCCUGCUAUAACGAAUUUGUCACAGGCUGUUUUAUAGGCCUGGAGCUCAGAAGCCCCAAAGUGAGUUUUAAGAGGUUAAAAUCAAGGUGUUGGCAAGGGUAGUUCCUUCUGGAGGUUCCCAAGGAGAAUCUGCUUCUUUUCUUCUUCCAACUUGUAGAGGCCACCUUCUUCCAUCUUCAAAACCUGCUGUGUCUGCAUAAGAACUCUCAUGAUUAUAUGCCGGCUGCCCAGACACCCCAGGAUAGCCUUCACAUCUCAAUAUUGUUAAUAUUUGCAAAGUCCCUUUUGCCACGUAAGGUAACACCACAGGUUUGGAGAUUAGGAGGUGGACAUCUUUCAGGGCCGUUCUUAUUUUUAAAAAUGUACUGUCGAUAAGAAUAGUUAAAAUGUAAAAUAUUUGAAAGGAUUUAUUCUGAACCGAAUAUGAGUGACCGCAGCCGGUGACACUGCCCUCAGGGGAUCCUGAGAACAUGUGCCCAAGGUGGUUGGGGCAGCUUGGUUUUACACGUUUUACAGAGACAUGAGGCAUUAAUGAAAUACAUUUAAGAUAUACAUUGGUUUGGUCCAGAAAGGCGGGACCAAACAAACAAAAAAAAGAUUUUUGAACAUGCUUUCCGAGCUCAGGCAUGAAGAACUCUUGACUGAUAGAGGGUGUGUCCAAAGUUUUCAGGACGGCCCAGCGGCGCUCCAAAACCCUCCUCACAGCCUCGCCCCUUUCGCCUCAGCCACAACAGAUCAUCGUCAACCUGUUCCACCUUCUCCAGUCUGGUAGCAAAAAGGGGUGUCUCAGGCCACUCUUCACCUCCACCAUGAGCCUGGACAUCCAGAGCCUGGACAUCCAGUGUGAGGAGCUGAGCGAUGCUAGAUGGGCCGAGCUCCUCCCUCUGCUCCAGCAGUGCCAAGUGGUCAGGCUGGACGACUGUGGCCUCACAGAAGCACGGUGCAAGGACAUCAGCUCUGCACUUCGAGUCAACCCUGCACUGGCAGAGCUCAACCUGCGCAGCAACGAGCUGGGUGAUGCCGGCGUGCACUGCGUGCUCCAGGGCCUGCAGAGCCCCUCCUGCAAGAUCCAGAAGCUGAGCCUCCAGAACUGCUGCCUGACGGGGGCCGGCUGCGGGGUCCUGUCCAGCACACUACGCUCCUUGCCCACCCUGCAGGAGCUGCACCUCAGCGACAACCUCUUGGGGGACGUGGGCCUGCAGCUGCUCUGCGAGGGACUCCUGGACCCCCAGUGCCGCCUGGAAAAGCUGCAGUGAGUUUGCGUCCUGCCCCAGGGCCCGUGCUGCCCACUGCCUGUUCCUCAGCCAGCCCCCUACAUAGAACACAAGGUCACAAUGGCCUUGUGGUGCUCUCCUCUCCCCAUGAUGCUGGGGCUGGGGGGAUCUGUCAUCGCUCUCCCUCCCCCUCCAGUUUCCCUUUGCAAGGCACAGCUGCCCCAGGACCUGAUAGUGGGAACAGAUGCCUGGCCGUGACUCAGGCUCCACUCACCACCUCAGUGUGUGUGGGGGACCCGGCCACUGUGAGUUGUCCACAGCCUGGCACGUGCAGGUGGCCCUGCCCUCCAGAGGCUGGUUUCUUUCUCCCGAGCCUGGUUGGGCCCCAGAGUCUGAGGUCGGGGAAGGGGUGAGGGGUUUCCAGAAGGAAUGCUGGUGUCCACAGAGGCCCGGGCCUCUGGAUGAGUCUGUGGGGGUCCUUCAGCACUGACACCUGAUGCCCAGGCAGGAGAAGGCUGAGGGGGAGAUGAGACACCAGCACCCCCCUGCGAUCCCUGGCAUCACACCCUUGGCUGGUGCACAUUCCUGUGUGGUGCUAAGCUCGGCCAUCCCCCAGGCUGGAGUAUUGCAACCUCUCGGCUGCCAGCUGCGAGCCCCUGGCCUCCGUGCUUAGGGCCAAGCCAGACUUCAAGGAGCUCACGGUUAGCAACAACGACAUCAAUGAGGCUGGCGUCCGCGUGCUGUGCCAGGGCCUGAAGGACUCCCCCUGCCAGCUGGAGGCGCUCAAGUAGGCACUGGGCCUUGGGGGGGUGUGCGAUGUGGGCUGGGGGGGUCCUGUGCUGCCUCACGCGUGACCUGUGUCCCCAGGCUGGAGAGCUGCGGUGUGACGUCAGACAACUGCCGGGACCUGUGCAGCAUCGUGGCCUCCAAGGCCUCGCUGCGGGAGCUGGCCCUGGGCAGCAACAAGCUGGGCGAUGUGGGCAUCGCGGAGCUGUGCCCAGGGCUGCUCCACCCCAGCUCCAGGCUCAGGACCCUGUGGAUCUGGGAGUGUGGCAUCACUGCCAAGGGCUGCGGGGAUCUGUGCCGUGUCCUCAGGGCCAAGGAGAGCCUGAAGGAGCUCAGCCUGGCCGGCAACGAGCUGGGGGACGAGGGUGCCCGACUGCUGUGUGAGACCCUGCUGGAGCCCUGCUGCCAGCUGGAGUCGCUGUGGGUGAAGUCCUGCAGCUUCACAGCCGCCUGCUGCUCCCACUUCAGCUCGGUGCUGGCCCAGAAUAAGUUUCUCCUGGAACUACAGAUAAGCAACAACAGGCUGGAGGAUGCGGGCGUGCGGGAGCUCUGCCAGGGCCUGGGCCAGCCCGGCUCUGUGCUGCGGGUGCUCUGGCUGGCCGACUGCGAUGUGAGUGACAGCAGCUGCAGCAGCCUCGCCGCGACCCUGUUGGCCAACCAUAGCCUGCGCGAGCUGGACCUCAGCAACAACUGCCUGGGGGACGCGGGCGUCCUGCAGCUGGUGGAGAGCGUCCGGCAGCCGGGCUGCCUCCUGGAGCAGCUGGUCCUGUACGACAUUUACUGGUCUGAGGAGAUGGAGGACCGGCUGCAGGCCCUGGAGGAGGACAAGCCAUCCCUGAGGGUCAUCUCCUGAGGCGCUUCCUGCCGCUGCUCUCCCUGGACGACCGGCCUUGAGGCACCCCUGGGGCCCACCAGCCCCUGCCAUGCUCUCAUCCUGCAUAUCCUAGGUUUGAAGACAAAUGCUCAGAUCCGCUUAUUUCUGCCAGUAUAUUUUGGACACUUUAUAAUCAUUAAAGCACUUUCUUGGC